CUGGAAGUAGCUCUUGUAGACCAGGUUGUUCUCAAACUCACAGAGAUCCGCCUGCCUCUGCCUCCCAAGUGUUGGGAUUAAAGGUGUGUGCCACCAUCACCUAGCUUAGAUCCUGACUUUGAUUUCUUUUACAAGGCUUCCGGGUGCUUGUUCCUCAUGCAGGAGACUGAUGUUCAAACAGCUAUUUAGUCACCUUGUCCUUCUACACAACUCUGGCACAUGGUCCAGCCACUUGGACAGUUGUGUUUAAUUCAUGUUAAUAAUGAUGUAAAAGUUUUCCUCAUACAACUCUGUCUCUUAAUGUGCCCUACAAAAUUGUACAGUUAUUAUCUCCUGGCUUAUGUUCUGGAUCUUUGUCGACUGUUAGUUCUAUCAUAGCCACUUGGAUGGUCCCUCUUCUGAGAUACUAACUGCUGUUCCCCUCAUUGCCCUUCUGUCAGCCUUGAAGCAGUUAUUGAGAAGUUGAUGUCCCCCACCCCCAGGCCCCUAAGAGCAGUUUGGAUGACCUCUACAAGAGGACUAUUGGGCUCUGGACCAUCCGAUUCAUCGCUCUUCUUGCCACUCUGGACAUUGUUUUGGGGACUCAGAACUGAAACAGCUGGACUGAAGCCUCCUUUGCCUCAAUUACACUCUUUGUCUCGCCGGCUCAGAUCAGCGUACCAUCCUUCCGGAACAGCUGGACGCCAUGACUGCUGCAGUAUUCAAAGGUUAUAGGACCAGAUCUGACUCCUGCUAAGGAUGGGAUCUGUGCCCUCCUUGAACAAUCCUGUUUCCACACCAACAAAUCUUAACUGGUUUGAGAUUGGACCUAAAGACACAGGGACCAGACAAAACUUCCUUCUGGUUCCCUCCUGCUCUGACUCCUCCCCUGGAUCGCCCUUUCCUCUUCAUUACCUUACACCUAUUCUGUCACCCUGUCUUUUAAGUGUUUCACUUUCUGAACAGAAUGUUCCACACAAGCUGUCCCAGUAACACUCACCCUACAAUACUCCAUUUGCUCCUGAUAGAUCUGCAACAGACCUUUUAGAUGCCAUGGUGAAACUGGCUAAAAGGGACUUUCAUCCAGUUCACCCCAGGCCAGAUACAAUUCUUUAGAUCAGUUCUCUAGUUUUUCCUGUUCCCUUCCUUUGAUGCCCUGUAGCUAGCUAGCUCCCUGUCACAUCUGCUGGCUCAUCUGGUGCUACAGUCCUGGCAAUGGGACCAGUCAUUGUCUCCCUGAAUCAACUCUAUGCCCACUUCUCCCACCUUUGUUCUUCCCAGCCCCUGAACCUUCCUAGAAAAUCUGUUUUGCUCUGUAAUCAAAUCGCCUGCUUUCAGUGCUCUAACGAUUAUUUUCCAGUUUUCUGCAGGAGUACGGGACAAGGAUCAUUUGAAUCAUCCAGCAGAUCAAGUUUAAGACAUGGCUAGAGGACACCCUCCUUCUUCGAUGGACCUAGAUAUAGACCCUCCUCAGUUGAAAGCAGCUAUAGCACCCCUGCCCCGAAUUUGAAUAUCCUUUCAGACUUAGAAAUGAUAGUUUCCUGCUGAAGAACUACACUUCCCAGCUUCUCUUGCAGACUUGGAAGUCAUUCCUACCCCUAUAAGGGGCCUCCACCCAUCUUCCUCUGUAGGCAUUUUGGCCAUCUGCACAUAAGCUUGGGGAAUGUAUUAGUGGAUGAAGACAAAAGCCAUCUGAACCAGUGGAUGACUAGGAGAGAGGAGAUUUCUCUGUCCUAUGGUGCAGUGAGGAGGCUACUGAGACCUGCCCCACAAACAGGCUUCACUGUGCUUAUCAGGACUGGACACCAUAUUCCUUCUAUCUCACUGUCUGGGAGUUGGCCUCAUGAACUGAACAAGCAGAUGAUCUUGUACUUGGCCUUAGUCCUUCACUGGUCUGAGUCCACUGUCUACUGGUCCCAUUGCUACAGAAAGUGGAAACAGCGUAACAGCGGUGCGGAAUGUGGCCGAGCAGAGAUGUUCGCUCCAAGAUGUCUGGGAAGAGGCGCUGUGUGGAACUCAGCCCUCUUAUGACUGAAUUCAGCAUGAGAAAAUGAGUGUCUGAGUAAAAAAAAAAAAAAAAAAAAAAGACUUAAAAUUCCAAAAUUAGAGUAAGCCAUUUUCUGUGUUAAAAUCUCCAAGAGUGAAUCUAAUUUUGGACAAGAAUAUCUUAGAAAUGGCGAAUCAGGGAUGAGCUAUGAGUCCCCUCUCUGUGGCACGGUGAUAUUGAUGACCAGGAGAAAUUACCAUGCCUUCUCUGCUACCCACAUGGCUAUCAAACUCUAGGCACUCCACAAGCUCCUAUAAUGUCCCUUUCUGAUAGAAAUAAAAUAACUGAAAUUUAAGCUGGAUGAUGGUGGCCCUCACCUUUAAUCCCAGCACCCAGGAGGAAGGCCCAGGCAGAUCUCUGUUAGAUUGAAGUCAGCCUGGUCUGCAGAGCAUGUUUCAG
rnacentral:lncRNA from 1 species